UACCAGCACCCCGAGUGGUCGGGACGUUUAUUGGGCCUAAAGCAUCCGUAGCCGGUUCUGCAAGUCUUCCGUUAAAUCCACCUGCUUAACAGAUGGGCCGCGGAAGAUACUAUAGAGCUAGGAGGCGGGAGAGGCAAGCGGUACUCGAUGGGUAGGGGUAAAAUCCGUUGAUCCAUUGAAGACCACCAGUGGCGAAGGCGGCUUGCCAGAACGCGCUCGACGGUGAGGGAUGAAAGCUGGGGGAGCAAAGCCGG
rnacentral:rRNA from 1 species